AUUGAACGCUGGCGGCAGGCCUAACACAUGCAAGUCGAGCGGAGCGGCGGACGGGUGAGUAAUGCCUAUGAAUCUGCCUGGUUGUUGGGGAUAACGUCCUGCAAUGGGCGCUAAUACCGCACACUAUCAGAUGAGCCUAGGUCGGAUUAGCUAGUUGGUGGGGUAAAGGCCUACCAAGGCGACGAUCCGUAGCUGGUCUGAGAGGAUGAUCAGUCACACUGGAACUGAGACACGGUCCAGACUCCUACGGGAGGCAGCAGUGGGGAAUAUUGGACAAUGGGCGAAAGCCUGAUGCAGCCAUGCCGCGUGUGUGAAGAAGGUCUUCGGAUUGUAAAGCACUUUAAGUUGGGAGGCGUUACCAACAGAAUAAGCACCGGCUAACUUCGUGCCAGCAGCCGCGGUAAUAC
rnacentral:rRNA from 1 species